UUUCGUUCGCGAAGCGAAUCAUUCGUAAAGAAACCUUCGUUCAAGCCUGUCCAUAAUCGCAUACUGCUGUUACGGGUUCUUAUUUUGUGUUGCUUACCGCUUCCAUCGUCGAUAUAAAAAAAAACAGUUAUAAGAAGACAUUUCGCGCGCGCUGCGGUUCGUUCGUCUGUGUAGUACUUUUUUUAGUACCGUCAGAUUUGUUUGUAUCAUUCGUUCUGCGCUCCAUCCCACUAGUUCACUGCAAGUCGUUUUGAGCUACAUCUUUCUAAAAGCUCAGUUCCCGUGCGUUAUGUAACUAAUAAUAAUGACAGAAACUUAACUGUAUAGUUUUGUUCUCGGAGCAUAAUCUUUUAUUUUCCUAGUUAUACUAGAAAAUCAAACAGAAGUGAAUGUGGUUGUUUGGUGGUUUGCUGGUGUAACACCUGAUGAAACGUAUUCCAACACCAUCCACCAUGGGAAGCUGAAGAAAAAGUGUAACCACUACUAUGAAAAAUACUGUGUACUAUUGUGUGUUGAACAAUAUUAUCAAAUGCUACUUCUUCGGAUCGUUGAAAAUAGCAGGCCACUCCGAAAUUGCCAUAGUGAAGCAAAGUCAAUGUGAGAUUUAUAAACCAGUAAUAAAAAGGCUGUGAAUACCUGUGAAUAGUUGUGAAAAUAUUAAGUGCUUAAGCCGAAGAUUCGCAUAAGAAAAUAUAAUCAAAAUGACGUCGAGCAAAGUACAAUCUCGUCCGAAAAAUAUCCUCGCGUCUUCCGCAGCAGCUUCACGAAGCAGUGCCUUCGCAGCAUACAAUAAUACGGAAAAUAUCCGACGCAACAUCGGAGGCACCAAACGGUGUUUGUUUGGUAAACCAGACUCGGCUGAAACGAAAAGACUGGAAGAUGAAACUUUCCAUCAGAACCGACAAAAUUUCAUGAAGCGAUACGGAUACGAUAUCGCUACCGGACAACCUGUGAAUAAUUCGAUCUCAUCUUCAUCAACGUCACGUUCCAGCCCCACCAGAGAACACUAUAGGCCCAACUAGGUCACCCACAAGCGACACUCAAAAGUCGACAGGGCGCCGCAGCUCCAGAUACUAUCCAUAGUGCUGACAUAACGAUAACCAUCGCCAAGGUCCUCAGCAGAAAUACGAAGGCUCAAAAUGCUAUUUCGAGCUAACUGCCAUCAUUCUACGGAAUCUCCGAUUUAGAAUUCCCUCAAAUCAACAACAUAUUAGUAUACAUGGAGGAGGAUCCGGACCAGAUGAAUCGUUCCGCGAAAUGUUAUUAAAAAUAUUACUGUUUAGUAUAUGUUAUUCUUAUCGAAGUAAAUUGUUUUUAUAUUGCUGAUUGGGACAGAACGCGGAAGCAGGUCUCUUUUAAUUGGCGCGCUAAAUUAGCUGCGCAUACAUUUAUUCGAGUUUUCUCAUUUUGUCCAUGAUAUCUGAAAAUAUGUCUUUCAUAUGCAUAACACUGAAGCUUCUUCUAAAAUCUGUCCUAAGAAAAUAUGUUUUCAAGAAUUAGAUGACAUCAUCUUGGGUCUCUUGAACCCAGCAGACACCAUAGAGGGUGCAUUAACAUUUUAUUUUAAUGAUAAACAGCAAAUUAUGUGAUAUGAAAGAAAAAGAGAUCGUGAAAUGAUUUUUGUGUGGAGGCGAAAUCAAGCGAACCUUUAUUUUGUGCAUCCCUCCAGCAGAAAAUAAAAUCCUUAGCACAAAAGGUAAACCAACUCAAAGUUCUUUCAUUGUUAUAAUAUUUUAUAGCAAAUUUUGUUGAGUAAGGACGAAAUUCACCAAUUUGAGUAGUGUUUAAGUAAAGUAAAGCAAUCGUUAACUUUUUUGAAAGCACUUUCAAGAAAUUAUCGAAUACGAAGGGGUUGACGAAUAACAACACGCUUCUUUUCAGCUUUUAUUUCUUCCCCUUUUUGUUUAGUUGAACUCAGAGAAACAAAAAUAUUUGAUCUCAUAAUUUAAUUACCUGUUUGUUUUAAACGUUGAUAAUGAAUAGACAUUAACGAUAUGGUUAAGAUAAGCACACAGCAUAUGUACCCUGAAAAAUAAUCACAAUGAAAAUGGAAGGUACUAAAGAACAAUACUUAUUUGUUUCCAUAAUCGAAUUACUCCAAUACCCCCCACAACUCUAUUUCAAUGUUUGUUACUUUCUACUGCACCGAUAAUGAAAGAUUUCGCAAUCACCUUACAUUUAUCAUCCGAUAAAAAAUACAACGUGCUCUAUCUAAGCUUUUAGUAGAUUUAUUAAGAAUAUAACAAUAGAUGUCUGGCAAUAAAUCAGUAUGAUGUAAAAUGUAUGAAA